ACCUGAAUGGCUCAGUGGGUUGAGUGCCUGACUUUGGCUCAGGUCAUGAUCUCGUGGUUUGUGGGUUCAAGCCCUGCAUCAGGCU
rnacentral:tRNA from 1 species